rnacentral:rRNA from 1 species
UACGAAGGGGGCUAGCGUUUUUCGGAAUCACUGGGCGUAAAGCGCACGUAGGCGGAUUUGUUAGUCAGGGGUGAAAUCCCGGGGCUCAACCUCGGAACUGCCUUUGAUACUGCAAAUCUCGAGUCCGAUAGAGGUGAGUGGAAUUCCUAGUGUAGAGGUGAAAUUCGUAGAUAUUAGGAAGAACACCAGUGGCGAAGGCGGCUCACUGGAUCGGUACUGACGCUGAGGUGCGAAAGCGUGGGGAGCAAACAGG